rnacentral:rRNA from 1 species
UGCCGGAGGCUACUGCUAUCGGGGUCCGACUAAGCCAUGCGAGUUGAGAGGGGUAAGCCCUCAGCAUAUUGCUCAGUAACACGCGGAUAACCUGCCCUUGGGUUUGGGAUAACCCCGGGAAACUGGGACUAAUAUCGGAUAGAUCAAAGAUACUGGAAUGUUCUUUGUUCGAAAGCUCCGGCGCCCAAGGAUGGGUCUGCGGCCUAUCAGGUAGUAGUGGGUGUAACGUACCUACUAGCCUACGACGGGUAAGGGUUGUGAGAGCAAGAGCCCUGAGAUGGAUUCUGAGACAUGAAUCCAGGCCCUACGGGGUGCAGCAGGCGCGAAAACUUUACAUGCGGGAAACCGCGAUAAGGGGACCCCGAGUGCCAGCACCUAGUGCUGGCUGUCCAGCUGUUCAAAAAACAGUCGUUAGCAAGGGCCGGGCAAGACCGGUGCCAGCCGCCGCGGUAACACCGGCGGCCCGAGUGGUAGCCGUUAUUAUUGGGUUUAAAGGGUCCGUAGCCGGCCUAUUAAGUCUCUUGGGAAAUCUGGCGACUCAAUCGUCAGGCGUUCAAGAGAUACUGGUAGGCUUGGGACCGGGAGAGGUGGGAGGUACUCCAGGGGUAGGGGUGAAAUCUCGUAAUCCUUGGGGGACCACCGAUGGCGAAGGCAUCCCACCAGAACGGGUCCGACGGUGAGGGACGAAAGCUGGGGGCACGAACCGGAUUAGAUACCCCGGGUAGUCCCAGCUGUAAACGAUGC